UCCAUUUUCUGAUUAGGGUUUGAAAAAGGC
rnacentral:piRNA from 1 species